CAGUCGCCGCGGUAAUACGUAGGGUCCGAGCGUUGUCCGGAAUUAUUGGGCGUAAAGAGCUCGUAGGCGGUCUGUCGCGUCUGCCGUGAAAUCCUCAGGCUCAACCUGAGGCGUGCGGUGGGUACGGGCAGGCUAGAGUGCGGUAGGGGAGAAUGGAACUCCUGGUGUAGCGGUGGAAUGCGCAGAUAUCAGGAAGAACACCGAUGGCGAAGGCAGUUCUCUGGGCCGUAACUGACGCUGAGGAGCGAAAGCGUGGGGAGCGAACAGGAUUAGAUACCCCUGUAGUCCCUGUCUCUUAUAC
rnacentral:rRNA from 1 species